UUGCUUCAGUAGCACAAAUAUUAAACUUGGAAUGAUACAGAGAAGAUUAGCAUGGCCCCUGAGGGGAGAAAAACAACAACACUGAAAAGAGAUAGGCCAGA
rnacentral:snRNA from 1 species